rnacentral:rRNA from 1 species
UACGUAGGGGGCAAGCGUUGUCCGGAUUUAUUGGGCGUAAAAGGCUUGUAGGUGGCCACGCCAAGUCGGAUGUGAAAUCUCCCGGCUCAACUGGGAGGGGUCAUUCGAUACUGGCGGGCUCGAGGCCGGUAGGGGGAAGUGGAAUUCCCGGUGUAGUGGUGGAAUGCGUAGAUAUCGGGAGGAACACCAGUGGCGAAGGCGGGUUGCUGGGCUGACACUGACGCUGAUGCGCGAAAGCCAGGGGAGCGAACGGG